UUCUUAUUUGAUCGAAUGGUUUGGGUACGAUUGAUUGGGUUUUCAAUUUCGGUGCAUGCAACUUUGGGUGGUAGAAAAUUGAAAUGGAGAGGAAAUAGCUUUGGUUGGAUAGAUAGUUUAAAAUUAGGUGAGAGUUUGAGAGAGACCGAGAUUGAUUGGGUUAGGGAUAGGGAUAGGGUCUGGAUUCGAAUUUUGUAAUUGGAUUCAAUCUCUAAGAGCUUUUGCUGGACUUCCACAGAGUGAGAGACAGAUAGGGAGGGGACUUUUCUCUGCCAAUCAGAAGAAGAUGAUUUGCUGAGGGAAAGUCUAGAGAGGAGGAAGGGAUGUCUUGGUCGAUUUCAGUCUGUUCCCAAUUUGGGAAUUUCUGUUUCACAUUCAAAGUUUCAAUCUUUAAAGGCAAUGGCAGUCUCCCCAAGCUAAAGACUCCCCCUCUGAGGAGCGUAUUGAAGGACGGUUGAGAUAUCUCAAAAGCCAGAAAGAGAAACUCAAAUCUUGCAUUAUAUAUGACUGAUCUUCAGUGCUUUGUAAACUCGAAACAAUUUUAGGGACAUGAAACUUUGUCUUUUAUUGUAAAUUGUUUGCAACAACAAACCCCGCAGCAAAACGCGGGUACCAUUACUAGUAUAUU